GAUGAACGCUGGCGGCGUGCCUAAUACAUGCAAGUCGAGCGAAGCGGGGACGGGUGAUUAACACGUGGAUAACCUCCUAUAAGACUGGGAUAACUUCGGGAAACCGGAGCUAAACCGGAUACUUAGAGAUGGAUCCUCGUUACAUUAGCUAGUUGGUAAGGUAACGGCUUACCAAGGCAACGAUGCAUAGCAGACCUGAGAGGGGGAUCGGCCACACUGGAACUGAGACACGGUCCAGACUCCUACGGGAGGCAGCAGUAGGGAAUCUUGCGCAAUGGGCGAAAGCCUGACGGAGCAAUGCCGCGUGAGUGAUGAAGGUCUUCGGAUCGUAAAGCUCUGUUAGUAGGGACGCGUUACCGACUCAGAAAGCCCCGGCUAACUCCGUGCCAGCAGCCGCGGUAAUUC
rnacentral:rRNA from 1 species